ensembl:snoRNA U3 Small nucleolar RNA U3
GAAGGUUCUGUCCUGAGCGUGAAGCUGCCUCUAGGUGUUGUUUCUGCAGUUACCUUGUGCCGUUGAUGAUUCUUCUUCUCCUCCUGUGGGGGAUUCAGAGGGAGAGGACACAGCCUGA